GACGAACGCUGGCGGCGUGCUUAACACAUGCAAGUCGAACGGAAAGGCCCUGCUUUUGUGGGGUGCUCGAGUGGCGAACGGGUGAGUAACACGUGAGUAACCUGCCCUUGACUUUGGGAUAACUUCAGGAAACUGGGGCUAAUACCGGAUAGGAGCUCCUGCUGCAUGGUGGGGGUUGGAAAGUUUCGGCGGUUGGGGAUGGACUCGCGGCUUAUCAGCUUGUUGGUGGGGUAGUGGCUUACCAAGGCUUUGACGGGUAGCCGGCCUGAGAGGGUGACCGGCCACAUUGGGACUGAGAGACGGCCCAGACGCCUACGGGAGGCAGCAGUGGGGAAUAUUGCACAAUGGGCGGAAGCCUGAUGCAGCAACGCCGCGUGCGGGAUGACGGCCUGCGGGUUGUAAACCGCUUUCGCCUGUGACGAAGCGUGAGUGACGGUAAUGGGUAAAGAAGCACCGGCUAACUACGUG
rnacentral:rRNA from 1 species